UGGGUGGCAGCGACAGGGGGAAAUCCAAUAAAAUUGGUUUGAGAAGCCAUAUCAGAAGAUCACACACAUAGCCACUCUGCAAGAUGAGAUUGCUAUGGCAUCAGACCCACAGCUGCCAAAAUUUUCAUGGGAAGCUGAGGUGCACCAGGAGCCUUGUUCAAAGCCCACUGAAGUGAAAGGGAGUUGUUUGGAUCAGGACUCAAGGACCGCCUUACUCCAGAGGCCAAAAAGGGGCUGGAGGUGGUGUAGGAAUCAGCUACACAGAUUUUACACAUGCUACCCAGGAAGAUCUGCCAUUUUUCUGACCAGCAUGCACCACUGGAGAGCGCAAAAUGGCCAGAGCAGGGCUCAGGAUUCAGCCUUGUGACUACAGGAGAUCUACAAGCAAGGCCCUGUGUGCUCCACCCUGUUCAUGUCAAUGAGAGGGUAAAUCUGUAAAGGCAUUUCCUGGAUCUGAUCCUGAAAGAUGUGGAACACCCGCCGGUCCAACUGAAGUCAAUGGAGUCACAUGUGCUCUUGGGCACCUUGCAGGAUCAGGCACAUUUCAGCAGGAGCUGAGGAUGCUCAUAUCAGGACCAUACAGCACGAUUUAUUGCCUUUGUUGAGGUUGCUUCUGAAUCAGACCAAUACCACAGUGAUGAGUGGCAAACAUGGCUAGAUGGAUUAAAUAGCAUUGACCAGUAUAAACAACUCAUACAUCAGAGAGGUCUGCAGCACCUUCCAAAAUGGAAAGCAAACAUAGCAUAAAGACAACAGGUGUUUUCUUUAAAAUAAAGAAGAAUGAAAACAGGAGACAAACUGUUUAAUGUCAG